GAGGAAAAGAAACUAACAAGGAUUCCCCUAGUAACGGCGAGUGAAGAGGGAAGAGCCCAAGUUUGAAAGCUGGCGUCUUCGGCGUCCGCAUUGUAAACUCGAGAAGCGUUUUCCGCGCCGGACCAAGCUCAAGUCCCUUGGAAUAGGGCAUCAUAGAGGGUGAGAGUCCCGUACUUGGCUUGGAGUCCCCGGGGCUUUGUGAUACGCUCUCCAAGAGUCGAGUUGUUUGGGAAUGCAGCUCAAAAUGGGUGGUAAAUGCCAUCUAAGGCUAAAUAUCGAGGAGAGACCGAUAGCGAACAAGUACCGUGAGGGAAAGAUGAAAAGAACUUUGGAAAGAGAGUUAAACAGUACGUGAAAUUGCCGGAAGGGAAGGGUAGGGAGUCAGAUAUGCUGUGCGGAUUCAGCCUUGUCUUUGGACUUGGUGUAUUUUCGUAUUGGCAGGCCAGCAUCGGUUUGUGCCGCUGGAUAUAGGCUUGGGGAAUGUGGCUUUGUCUUCGGUCAAAGUGUUAUAGCCCCUUGCUGAGUACAGCGGCAUGGACCGAGGCACGCAGCGCACCCUCUGGGCGGGCCCUCGGGCACCUUUGCGCUUAGGAUGCUGGCUUAAUGGCUCUCUGCCACCCGU
rnacentral:rRNA from 1 species